UAGGGAAUCUUCGGCAAUGGACGAAAGUCUGACCGAGCAACGCCGCGUGAGUGAAGAAGGUUUUCGGAUCGUAAAACUCUGUUGUUAGAGAAGAACAAGGACGUUAGUAACUGAACGUCCCCUGACGGUAUCUAACCAGAAAGCCACGGCUAACUACGUGCCAGCAGCCGCGGUAAUACGUAGGUGGCAAGCGUUGUCCGGAUUUAUUGGGCGUAAAGCGAGCGCAGGCGGUUUCUUAAGUCUGAUGUGAAAGCCCCCGGCUCAACCGGGGAGGGUCAUUGGAAACUGUGAGAAUUGAGUGCAGAAGAGGAGAGUGGAAUUCCAUGUGUAGCGGUGAAAUGCGUAGAUAUAUGGAGGAACACCAGUGGCGAAGGCGGCUCUCUGGUCUGUAACUGACGCUGAGGCUCGAAAGCGUGGGGAGCAAACAGG
rnacentral:rRNA from 1 species